rnacentral:rRNA from 1 species
UACGAAGGUGACAAGCGUUGUUCGGAUUCAUUGGGCGUAAAGGGUGCGUAGGCGGCGCGGUAAGUCGGGUGUGAAAUCUCGGAGCUUAACUCCGAAACUGCAUUCGAUACUGCCGUGCUUGAGGACUGGAGAGGAGACUGGAAUUUACGGUGUAGCGGUGAAAUGCGUAGAUAUCGUAAGGAAGACCAGUGGCGAAGGCGGGUCUCUGGACAGUUCCUGACGCUGAGGCACGAAGGCCAGGGGAGCAAACGGG